AAGGCAUCGUUUGAUUGAAUCACUCUCUCUAUGUUUAUUCGUAAAUUCAGACGAUUACACUAUGUUAGAUGUACAUUUUUCAAGCCAACAACAAAUAGUUAACAAAAUAAACCUGAAAUAUCAGCUGAAAGACCAUACGACGGCGUCAGAUAAUAACAGAAGACGACUAGAAGGCUCAGUCUUCCCCGUAACAAGCGCAAUCUGAGACCAACGGCAUCGGGGAGCAAUAAACUUUUCCCUAACAAAUAACAAAGGAACCAAAAAGCUUGGCAAGAUAAAAAGAUGGAGAUAUUUCAGAACAAUGCAUGUGUGACUAUAACAUGAGGAAUGAAAAAGCUUGGCAAAUAGGAAGACUUAUCCAAGGAGUUGACACCCCUUCAAUUUGGAAGCUACUGAAGCCUGAGCAACGUAAUUGCUGUGAUCUACAACCCAACUUUUGAAGUGAGAGAUAGAUGUGUCUAAGGAGGGCAUAUGCAAUUGUAACAUAAGGUACUAAGAAUCCUGGGAAGAAAAAUGUUCUGUGAACUAGGUAAAUUAAUCUUCUUUCAUUCAUUUUUACAAGUUAUGAUUCUGUUGAUUUUCUGGCAAUUUAUAGUUUUUUCAAAAGAUAUUUGUAAAUAAAAAAAAUAAUGAUAAAAUAAAGAAGUUGAACCUUCUCAACAUGAGAGACCAAUAAGUGUUACGACAGAGAAGGAUUCUAACAAGUUGAAACUCAAGAUAAAAUGAAUUGAGGCUAUGCAAAAUUUAAAUUUGAACGCUUUCACGUAUAGUCUAUGGAUCGGGGAAGAUUUCUAAUUGAGGUAAGAUAUUUGAGAGUAUUAACACACUUGUUGAGUCAGAAACACGUGAUGGUUCGUUUCGUGAGAAACAGAACCGAUAGCCUUGAAAACAAACUACACAGCAUAAU